CAGGGCCAUCUUAUGGACGGAAAUUCAUGACAGGAUACCUGUCAUCAGUGGGGGUGAGGGUAGGAGAACCUCGAGUGGGAAAGAUUCUCAGAGAAGUGCACCAGCCAUAUAAUGAGCUGCGUCGCCAGGGAGCACGUAAUCUAAACCCAGUUCCUUACCACGCGGAGUAUAUGGGCCACAAACUCCACCUCGACCAAAAUGAGAAGCUGGGAAUGUUUGGAGUGACACACGUCUUGGCUAUUGAUGGAUUCAGCAGUAAAAUUGUUGCUGAUUCCACAAUGCCAAUAAAGAACAACCUUGUUAUUUAUAAGGAAGUUUACAGGCAAGUCCAAUCAAGGUUACUUGACUUCCACUAUGUGGAAUUAAUGUACAAUAUCAGUAUUAUUACAAUACAAUCAGUAUUUGCUACAUGCAUUUGAAUGUGAAAUUAAUCAGUAUCUAUCAUAUCCACAUAAGUAUCCAUAUAAUCUAAAUAUUUUUCUAUUACAGGAAAGCAGUUGCUAACAAUGGCAUGUGGGACCAAGUCAGAGUGGAUCAUGGCAGGGAGUUUUACUUGACCCUGUACAUGCAGGAAAAGCUGUCUCAUCACAGACAUAAUGUUAACAGGCUACCUUAUGUGCAGACAACCUCUUCAAGGAACCUUCGUGUGGAAAGAAUUUGGCCAGAGGUCAAUAAUCGGGUGAACUAUCCCAUAAAACAGGCCCUGGUUCACCUGCUGGAUCAAGAGCUACUCGACAUGCAAGAUAAUGUAACGAAAUUUUGUGUCUCCAACCUGGCAUGUCAAGUGAGUCAGAUUGGACUUGGCAGAGUUGUGCAGUCCUGGAAUGCCCAUAGGAU